rnacentral:misc_RNA from 1 species
CAAAGAACAACUGUGGCUAAAGCCAGUAUUAGCUGGACCAAAAACUUGCCCUUCCUUUCCCUUUCUUCUUCAUGUUCAAAGACGUGCAAGGAAUGGCCAUUUCAAGUUUGAACAUUCUGCUCCAUCCACUCUUUGAAAUUUGAACCCUUUUUUUCUUUGAUCAUUAAUUUUUCUUUAUUAUUUCCCUUCGAUUUCCACUCCAGAUUACAAUACUCCCAUAUAAAUUUGCAUAUACAUUUAUUUCUUUCCCUGUCAAGACCAGUAAAAAAAUGAAUAUUUUUAAACAAGAUUGCAAAUACACAGAGAAAUUGACAUCUCCUUCCUUCUUCAAGAUUCAAGAACCCUUGUGUAGGAGUAGCAUAUAAUCAAACCUGUCAUCUGCCCUCUCUACGUGGUAGCCUCUCUCUAAUUAUCGAUUGGUGAAAUAGAGGUCGUUGUUGUAGUUGUAUCAAACUUUUCUAAAACCCACCCCCCUCUUCCUUCUUGUUUAUUUCUUUUCGCGGAUCCGUAUUCUCUACGUGCACUUCUCCUAUACACUAUUUAUACUUCUCUUCACUCAAAACCCACUUCGCCGAAUCAUUUCUAGACCCCCAAUAUGAGCUCUCAAUCGACUAUAUCAUCCUCCGCCGCAGCCGCUGCUGGUGGUGGUGGUGUUCAGAUCAAGCAGUCCCGACGAUUGCCUGAUUUUCUACAGAGUGUGAAUCUUAAAUAUGUGAAGUUGGGGUAUCAUUAUCUUGUGAGUCAUUUAUUGACCCUCUGUUUGAUCCCUUUAAUGGCGGUCAUUAUCGUUGAAGCCUCUCAACUGAACCCGGAGGAUAUUCACCUACUCUGGCUCCAACUUCAAUACAAUCUUGUUAUUGUCAUUGUCUGCUCCGUUUUUGUU